rnacentral:lncRNA from 1 species
UGGAGGAGUCGUUUACCCUGAUUCUCAGCUUCCACGUCUGUUGAAGGGGAGAUACUCAUGAAGAGGACAGGAUGGCUAGGCACAAACUAGCGGGAAAUGCUGGACUGAUGGAAGGAAUACUCCACGUGCUACAAGCAGUCUGGAGCCACAGCAACUUAGCGCAGGAAGCCAAACCAACCCUGCACACUGUGCUUUGGGAGGUGGAGUCAGAGAGAAGGGGUCAGAAGCUCUGGAGACAUGGCUCACCAGACUUGUCAACGUCUGGCUAGGACUGCAGAUGCCAGGAUCUAAGGACAUUUGAUACCUUACAGGAGACCUCAGACCAACGAC